GAUGAAGAACGUAGCGAAAUGCGAUACUUGGUGUGAAUUGCAGAAUCCCGUGAACCAUCGAGUCUUUGAACGCAAGUUGCGCCCGAAGCCACUAGGCCGAGGGCACGCCUGCCUGGGCGUCACACGCCGUUGCCCCCCCAUCUACUCCUUCGGGAUUGCGGGGGGGCGGAUGAUGGCCUCCCGUGCGCCUAGCCGCGCGGUUGGCAUAAAUACCAAGUCCUCGGCGACGCACGCCACGACAAUCGGUGGUUGCGAAACCUCGGUUGCCCGUCGUGUGCGUUCGUCGCGCAUCGAGGGCUCGAAAAAAUGCUCGGCUCCGGCUGGGCUUUCAACGCGACCCCAGGUCAGGCGGGGUUACCCGCUGAACUUAAGCAUAUCAAUAAGCGGAGGA
rnacentral:misc_RNA from 1 species